AUAUUCUGUGUGUUACGAAAUAGCACUUCUCUUGAAAUGCUUUCAAUGAUGUAAGUUGUGACUGUCUCUAUGUUAUGCACAGAAUUUUAGAGAAAGUAAAAUCCCUACCUCACGUUCCAACGACUCAACUGAUGUAGUGCACAUGUUUUCAACGGCCUCUUCACAUAUGCCUUCAACCUUCAUCUCUGUUCCGCGAAAGAAGAAAGACCAAAUCAUGACUGAAUUGAGCAGAUCAUAGGACAAUGGAGUCGUCUUACUAAUGCCUAUGUAGUCAUAUAAGUGCCAUCGAGGUGCAGCAGAUCUUAUACAAUUUUCAAGUCCCCCAAUAUCGAAUGACAUUCUUUUCAGAGCGUACAAAGCUUCGUUUGAGUACAGAAUAUCUUCAGGUAACAUUGAAGCAUCGAAUGUUUUGUGCAUUUGUAACCAAUGUGUAGCAACACGUUUAGUUGCCUGCAAACAAUACUCUCUUGUUCUACCCUGUGCAUUAAUCGAAAAGAAAUAAAAGGACACUAAAAUGUCGCUCCCCCACUCGGAAAAAAACGUGU
rnacentral:lncRNA from 1 species